rnacentral:rRNA from 1 species
UACGUAGGGGGCAAGCGUUAUCCGGAUUUACUGGGUGUAAAGGGAGCGUAGACGGUUUUUCAAGUCUGAAGUGAAAGCCCGCGGCUCAACUGCGGAACGGCUUUGGAAACUGAGGGACUAGAGUGCUGGAGAGGCAGGCGGAAUUCCGUGUGUAGCGGUGAAAUGCGUAGAUAUACGGAGGAACACCAGUGGCGAAGGCGGCCUGCUGGACAUUAACUGACGCUGAGGCGCGAAAGCGUGGGGAGCAAACAGG